CCCUGCCUCCCCGGGCUUGUGGCCCCUGGUACCUUCAGAGUUCUUCGGCGUUUGCAGAGGUGUAGGAGGAAACUUGCAGGGCUCUGCGGAAUGCGAACCCGUGCUGGUCUUCUAAAGUAAAAGCUGCUGACUGGAUAAUGACGCAUGCUCCUAAGCGUUGGGAUGGUGACUACAGGGGAUCCUGCUGCCAACCGUCUUAAGACAAAUAAGCCCUCCUGAUCCUUGGGACCAUCAGACAUUUAGGAUCUAAUGCUUGAAAGAGUUGCUUCGCUUGUUAGGUGUUGGAUGCCAUCUGUUCAGAGCCAAAGGCUCUCCUCCUCUGCUGUUGAUUGUCAUUAUUUAAUGUGGGGCAAGGAGAAUAAAAUAGACGCUUCCACUGGCUGCCUUUGGACAAGGCCCAGGAAUGGCACCUGGUACGGUUUUUGAUUUUUCAUUUAUUUUCUGAUGGAGGUGGCACAUCUGGGGAUCGUAGGUAGAUUGCACUCGUUUACCAGACUGUGGAAGAUGGUAAUCUUGCAAGGCAAAUUCAUUUCACAGUGUCUCCAGAAAGUUCCUAAUCCAAAGGAUUACUUUAUCGAAAACGAGGAAGGUCCUGCUUUUUGCUCUUGUUGCACUGCUGCUCAUGUGCCUUCUGCAUUUCCUGUCGGUUUUAAGUUGUCAGUCAGUCUAAUGCAGCUGAAAACGCACGUUCUCAGUCACAGUGUGGUGGAGGAGCCCAUUUCAGUGAAAUGUUUCAAUCCCUUUCAGUGUUUGAAGUGCCAAGUGAAAUCACACAUGCUGAGAAUAUUAGAGCCUAGCAAGGCAGGUCAGAAAAUGAUGUCAGAGGCCUUUAGUGGAAAUUAGAGAGCCGGGAAGUGGAAUCUCAGGUUGGUUGAUUAGAAUAGCAAUGACUCCAAAUCUACUAUCAGGUGGGUGGAGGGGGGUGUGUCCCCCAACAAAACUGGAAGAGACAGAACCUCCACUGUGACCGCGUGCUGACUGUGCCAGAGAAAUGAGCUGUUAAAUUUCCCUGUUGACGCGCCGGUUGUGGAGAGCAGAGUGAAAACCGACCAGCACAGAGCUUGGCCCGAGUUAGAAGUGGGCCAGUUGCUACUGACACCGCAACGUGAACGCUUCGCUGACCGUCUGAAAGCAGCACAUUUCCCCCACCAAACCUUCACAGAACAAGUCACCUUAGAGAAGCCUACCAAACAUUUGGAACAUUCAUAAGUAUCCACCCUAUUAACACUGAUGCUCCCUUGGUUAUUACUAAUGCGGACCUACGUGUUUAUUUAUUAUUUUAAAGAGAAAGUAGAUGGAAAUGUGAAUGUUUUCCACCUUCACCUGGCUUGUCAAAAAUAAUUACUUUUCUGAAAGUUUGAAAUUUACUCAAAAGUAAAAAAAUAAAUGUUUUGGUAGCAGG